UACAGAGGGUGCGAGCGUUGUCCGGAAUUACUGGGCGUAAAGGGCGCGUAGGCGGCUUGGUAAGUCGGGGGUGAAAGUCAGCGGCUCAACCGCUGGACUGCCUUCGAGACUGUCAGACUAGAGCUCGGUAGAGGCAAGUGGAAUUCCCGGUGUAGCGGUGGAAUGCGUAGAUAUCGGGAAGAACACCGGUGGCGAAGGCGGCUUGCUGGGCCGAUGCUGACGCUGAGGCGCGAAAGCGUGGGGAGCAAACGGG
rnacentral:rRNA from 1 species